rnacentral:lncRNA from 1 species
UUUUUUUUUAAGAUGGAGUCUUUCUCUGUUGCCCAGGCUGGAGUGCACAGGACAGACCCCUGCAACAAAGAAUUCUGCCGCCCAAAAUAUCAAUAGUGCAAUCUCCGCUCACUGCAACCUCUGCCUCCUGGGUUCAAGUGAUUCUCCUGCCUCAACCUCCCCAGUAGCUGGGAUUACAGGCACCUGAGACGUCACCAUCUCAAAUAUGGUUGUUCAGCCUCAAAGCUGAGCAAACACAGUCUUUAGUGCCGGGCUAAUUUUUGUGUUUUUAGUAGAGACGGGGUUUCACCAUGUUGGCCUGGCUGGUCUCGAACUCUGACCUCAAGUGAUCUGCCUGCUUUGGCCUCCCAAAGCACUAGGAUUACAUGUGUGAGCCAACAUGCCCGGCCCCCAACCUUAAUUAGAAAGUAGAAGUAAAGUGAAAUGAACGUAGUUUCUAUCUUAUUUGUCAUGUGUAAACCAAGGUUUUUCCUGGGAGCAGAGGAGUGCAUGAAUUCAGAGUUACUGUGGAAGAGGUGGCCAUCUCCUUUCCAUACUAUAUAGUUGUCACUGGGGAGGAGCUGCCCAGCCAGGGAAUCCAUUUCUUCGUCCCUUUCUUACAUUGAGCAGAGACACAACAAUUCCUCACCAGGGGAAUGUGAGUGAAAGUGCAGUGUACCUCUUCCAGGCCAACACUCUUCUAUAUCCCUUUCGUCUUUCACCAACCUUAGGGAGUGAAACUUCCGUGCAUGGCAGAGCCUCAUGACAGAAGGAGCCUGGCUCCUUGAAAGACCGGGUGGAGAGAGCUGCUCACAGGUUGGAGCACUGCCCAAGAUGUUACAUGAGCAAGAAAUAAACUUCCGUGGUGUUUAGUCACUGCAUUUGGGUCUAUUUGUUACUGCACCUUAGCCUAUGCUAACAAUUAUAGAGUCUGCCUUUGCUAACUCACACCUAAAAGGUCAGAUGUCUAUUUUGUUGCCAACACUAAAGACUGUGCUUGCUCAGCUUUGAGGCUGAACAACCAUAUUUGAGAUGGUGAUGUCUCAAGUGAUGUGUGUGUAUGUGGAGCAGGGGGAGUGUGAGGUGCUGGCUUGAUCCGCAUUCCCGUGGCUUGCAGUAAGAUUCCCAGAUGGCAGCUGCCCUCUGCACUUUUACCCUUCCUUUCCACUCACCACCCAUCACUUCCCCCACUGUUCCCUUCAUCCCCCUGUGUCCCAUCGAUGAGGAAGCCUCCCCAUGAAAAGCUGGAGGAGCUCUGCCUUGGGGUUUCUGCUAAGUCACCAGGUUGAGAACUUGCCGCAACUCCUUGGACAGUACGAAUGCCCAUUGCUUCUCUUUUGGUGGUCUGGGGCUUAACACUCCAGGCUAUCACUGCAUCAUCUGGUCCAAUUGACUGCAUCUAAAUAGUAGAAUUCUUUCUGUGCUCCUGAAAACAAGAGGGCUGCUUGGCGUGUGUGUGUGUGUGUGUAUGCGUGCACACACGUGUGCAUGCUGUAGGCCUGAUAUUAGAUACAGACAAGUAAAAUGUUAUGCUUUUUUUUUUUUUUUUUUUUUUUUUUAGAUAGAGUUUCACUCUUGUCUCCCAGGCUGGAGUGCAAUGGCGUAAUCUUGGCUCACUGCAACCUCUGCCUGCUGGGUUCAAAUGAUUCUCCUGCCUCAGCCUCCCAAGUAGCUGGAAUUACAGGUACGUGCUACAACAUCUGACUAAUUUUUGUAUUUUUAGUAGAGAUGGGGUUUCACCAUGUCAGCCAGGCUGGUCUCGAACUCCUGACCUCAGGUGAUCUGCCAGCCUCAGCCUCCCAAAGUGUUGGAAUUACAGGCGUGAGCCACUGAAUCCGGCCAAUGUUAUGCAUUUAAGUGUGGGGAGCAGAAGACUGGAUAUGCAAGAGCAUACAUCUGGAUACCUUUUACCUCUUGGCUUGUGGGGAAAAUGACCUGCAGGAUUUUACAUGGAGCUUCCUGUGUGCAUGCUGGUGACUGUUGGCAACAAGGUGUCAGGAAGAAAGACAUUGCUUUCCAAACUCCUUUUCCCAAAUGAUCCUUUCUUACCCAGUCUGCCUUACCUGCUUCUGUACUGUUCAACAGAGGAGGGGGAACAGGGAAAAGCAGGGGCAGUUGUGAAAAAUAGAAGGGAAACUUGAGUGUGCCUUUUUCUUCUCCUUCUCUUUCUCCACCCUCAGUCAUCAUUAACAGAAAAAUAUUUUUAAAAGAUCCCUUGAUGGCAUCCCCAAAUGUUAAGUCUGACAUUUUCUUAGCUGAUGGCCUCCUUUGUGAAGGUACUUUGUGUCCGCCCAGCAUGCCUGCUGGAUCCCUGGUUUGCCGCAGUUGCUGAGGUAAAUACUCUUUCCAUUAAGCACCACAGCCCAAGAGUGGCCUAAAGCUCAAAUAAAUGACCAAGAAGCAACUUAAACAUUCCCUGGGGCGAUUUUAACCUAUGCAAUGGCUUUUUGAAAAAAUUGCCUAUUUUUUCAUGUUUUGGCCGGGGGGGUGUCUCUUAUUCCCUUCUUUUUUAUUUUCCUUUCAGCUGAGUACACCUUCUCUUUCAUUUAUUCAUGCACUGCAUGAAGGAUGGAAGCAGGAUGAAUAAAUCACAGAGCAUUGCCCCUCUCCCCACUCAGGGUCUGUGAAGAGAGCUGGAGCAGAAUACAGUCCAGGCAUUAUGUCAACUUUCAGGGGACCUGGGGCAGGUGGCCGAUUCUCACAGAGACCCCACUUCCCUUUCCUGUGAAAAAUACCACAGCCCAACAGCCACUGGAGAACAGUGUUCUUCUGGAAGCUUCCUCUGGGCAGGAGGAGUCAAAGAUCCUGGUCCUCAGGGACACUUGAGAUGGGUGUGCCCAAAGCUGUGCAGGAUGGUUUGGUUUGUUUUGUUUUUCUUUGCCUCAGGAAGAAUGUGUUCACAAACCUCAGGACAAAUCGUUUAAAAAAGUGUCCUGACAGUUGUCAUGCUUCAUCACUUGAUUUAGAGGCAAUAGGACAGCCUUAUUUUCUUCUAAUCUCUGGUGGUUGAGGAGUCUGGUUGGCCUGGCAGAAGGCUGAGAUUGGCUGAGGGAGUCAUGAGCGAGCAGGGGCCUCUGGUGCCUGAAGCGCCCCUCAGGAAGAGCGGGUCUCACCGGAAGGCCACACUCAUCUCCUUCCUGGUUACCCAGUGUGGGGAUUUGCUACUUUGCUGAGUGUGUUUUGUCUACAUUCAUGGUGCUCCAGAACUGUGUCUGUGUUUCUCACAUUCUCUUUCGUGUCUGCCAGAGCAACAUUCUCAGCAAACCAUCUGAAUGCAACUCCUGUGAUCACAAAAGUCAAUCACUGAUGGAAAUGAAGACCACGACCCUGAUUCCUCAGGCACAGGUUUUCAUCUGUCACUAUGUGCUAAAAGCAAACCAGCAAGUGAGGGUGUCACUGUCAACUGCUCCUUGUCGUGAGAUUCCCACCUUUCCCUCAAGACAUCUCAGAUAUCAUAUGUAACCUUGACCCUGUGUCCCACAGCAACAGCGGUCAUUGAGUGUAAAGCCUUUUCCUUGAGGAUUGUGGUAGACAGAAUGCCCCCCAAAGGUGACUAUGCUUGAAUCCAUGGAAACUGAACAUGUCACCUUCUAUGGCAAAAGGGACUUUGCAGACGUGAUUAAGGUUAAAGACCUUAAAUUAGAGGGAGUACCCUGGACUAUCCAGGUGUCUAAUCUAAUCCCAUGAGACUUCAAAUGCAGAGAGCUUUCUCUGGCUGGAGUCAAAGAGAUGUGACAAAAGAGGUCGUCGGAGAGAUUGGAAGUGUGAGAAAGACCCGACCUACUGUUUCUGGGGAGCCCACCUGGAAAGCACGAGAAGGGACACAGGCAACCUUUGGGAACAAAGACUGCCAGCCACAAGGAAAAGACAGCAGUCCUCUAGCCACAAGAAACCGAAUUCAGCCAGCAACCUGGACAAGCUAGAAGAGCAUUCUUCCCCAGAACCUUUAGGAGGAAGUGAGGCCUUGCAGAUACCCUGAUUUUGGCUUUUGAGACACUAAACAGAGGAUCCAACUGAGUUCAACUGGCCCAGAAACUGAGAUAUGUUUGGACUGUUUUAAGUUGCUACGUUUGUGGUAAUUUAUUUUGGUGGCAACUGAAAAUGAAUGUAAUUGUAUAUUAGAAAAAUUGAAGGUAGAAGCUCUAAUACUUUCUCCCCACACCCCAGUGGUUCAUCAUGUGCAGCACUCAGGGUGUGGAAAUUCCAUUUUGAAGACACCGUCUUCCAGGAUUCUAACCCCCACCUGGGAAAGGUCCUGGAGAGAACUUCUAGCAUGUAUUUCUGAGCCAUUCACAUUUAACCCAGAGAGAGAAGGUGUCCUGCCCAAACGCAAAGCAGCAUGGCGGUAGUUCUGGACAUAACCUUAACAAUUGCCAGGAACUCUCUGGAUGUCCAUCCAUCAGCCCUAUCUAGUCUUUUUGUCUGCAUGGCAUUGUGGGGGAUGUGGCGAUGAGGGCCAGGAUCGCAGAAGUCAGAGUACCCGUGGCUGGAGCUUCCAUUUUAAAUGAAGUGUUCUUGCUUAUGGCUUGAUGGUAUCCUUUCAGAUUUUGCAUCUGGCUGUACUCCAGAUGUUUAUAUAGAAACUUCACAGUAGACAUGAUGGUGGCGUAGGUUUGCAGGAAGGAUCCUUUCCUACUUACAGAGUGACCCAAUGUGGCCGAUCCCUUCAAUAUUUACAACAGCUGGGUGAGUGGAGGCAUGAUCAACUCCAUUUACCCGUCAAAUAAAUGAAAUUUCAGAGCGGUUACACAAUCUGCUUGAGGUAACAAGGCCAGCAAGCCACAGAGCCAACAUACCCCUGGUGCCUGGCUCCACAGGAGUCUGGGAAGAGGGAGAGGAAGAUGGGGACAGGAUGUAUCACCAGGAUGCUAGGGGAAGAGAGAAUAUUGACGUGUGGGGCAGCCUGCAUCCCCAAAUCAGGAGCACUGGGUGCUGCUGUGUUACAGUGAGUGUAGGAGCAUGCCGUUCUGGGCUUCACUCUGCCCAAAUAUGUCUUGCUCAUUUUCACCGCCAUAUGGCUGCUCGUCCCGGUCUGUUUGAGGUUCCUUCCUGUUCCCUCUCUGCCUCUAAGUCCUUCAAAAAGCCAACUGGAAGUGCCUCUUCCAGGCUUUCCUUAGCCUUUCUUUAUUCCCUUGAACUUCUAUUAUGUUAAUUGUUCAAAAGAUUAGUUCUGACACUUACCCUAUGCUGCUUUGUAUUACUAUUGGAAAACAACAGUAGCUCUCUCAACCCAUUGGGUGGAUGGUACAUGCCAUGCUUUAUACAUUCCCGUGGCCCUGCUGUACCUGGCACACACAAAAGGGGAUUAAUAAAUAUGCAUAUGUUGAAUGAAAGAAUGGAG